UAUAUACUCUCUUCGUUCGGAAAUACUUGUCCUAGAAAUGAUUGUAUCUAGAUUUGUUUUAGUUCUAAAUACAACCAUUUCUAAGACAAGUAUUUCCAAACGGAGAGAGUAUUAG
rfam:Triticum aestivum genome assembly, contig: Triticum_aestivum_CS42_TGACv1_scaffold_114437_2AS